UCUCUUGUUAGAUAACAAAAAGAUUGAAGCAUUACCAAAGGGGAAAGACCGGAGCCCUGUUAUGCAGCUUUAUACAAGGGAUGCAUCGAAGAACUGGAAGCUUGCUGGAUCUGAUGGAGGCAGCAGGUUGAUACUUAAGGAGCCAGCAGCAAAUAUUGUGUUGUUGGAUUUUAUUUCAUCCCAGAAGUGGCAGGAUGUGGUAGAUUUU
rnacentral:misc_RNA from 1 species